ACUUAAAUUGAAGAGUUUGAUCAUGGCUCAGAUUGAACGCUGGCGGCAGGCCUAACACAUGCAAGUCGAGCGGUAGCACAGAGAGCUUGCUCUCGGGUGACGAGCGGCGGACGGGUGAGUAAUGUCUGGGAAACUGCCUGAUGGAGGGGGAUAACUACUGGAAACGGUAGCUAAUACCGCAUAAUGUCGCAAGACCAAAGUGGGGGACCUUCGGGCCUCAUGCCAUCAGAUGUGCCCAGAUGGGAUUAGCUAGUAGGUGGGGUAACGGCUCACCUAGGCG
rnacentral:rRNA from 1 species